rfam:Felis catus isolate Cinnamon breed Abyssinian chromosome F1, whole genome shotgun sequence.
GUCUACAGCCAUACCACCCUGAACACACCCGAUCUCGUCUGAUCUUGGAAGCUAAACAGGUUCGGGCCUGAUUUGUACUUGGAUGGGAGACUCUUAGAUUAUUUAGAAGGGUGUUGUUUAGU